rnacentral:ncRNA from 1 species
CACAUAGAGGAUAUAUCUGAUACCGUAGAAAUACCGUAGGAAAUGUCUAUCAAGUUUAUCUUGAAAAAACUAAAGUGUUUAAUGCGGGUUAAUGCUUGUUUACUCGUGCAUGGAAUAAUGAAAUAGAAUCUUCGUUCUAUUUUGUUAGUUUCCUAAUCUGGGAUAAUGCUUAAGAGGGGCGGUGUGAGAUCAAUCUGCCCUACGAUUCCCCAUUUACACAGAG